rnacentral:rRNA from 1 species
GACGAACGCUGGCGGCGUGCUUAACACAUGCAAGUCGAACGGAAAGGCCUUGUUUGUGUGGUGCGCGCGUGUCGCGCGCGUGUGUAAAACAUGUGUAUACCGUGCUCGUGUCUUGGGUAUAUCUUCGGGACACUGGCUCAUAUCGCAUAGAGGCGCCUCUUCUGCGGUGGGGGUGGUGGAGAUUCUCGGCGGUUGGGGAUGGACUCGCGGCUUAUCAGCUUGUUGGUGGGGUAGUGGCUUACCAAGGCUUUGACGGGUAGCCGGCCUGAGAGGGUGACCGGCCACAUUGGGACUGAGAUACGGCCCAGACUCCUACGGGAGGCAGCAGUGGGGAAUAUUGCACAAUGGGCGGAAGCCUGAUGCAGCAACGCCGCGUGCGGGAUGACGGCCUUCGGGUUGUAAACCGCUUUCGCCUGUGACGAAGCGUGAGUGACGGUAAUGGGUAAAGAAGCACCGGCUAACUACGUG